rnacentral:lncRNA from 1 species
CCUCCAGGAUCCCAGACACAGGAUCGUGGGAUAAGAGAUGCCGCUUCUGACGGACGUGGUCUCAGGCGGCCAGGCCUGGACACAGGGGCCUGGGCGGCCUGGGUGCUGGGAUGUGGGUCUUUCUCCAGCUGGGCUGGUGGAAGCUUCCAGAACUGGAGCAACCCCUCCCCCCACCCCGGGGAGAGGGAGGCACCUGCUGCCAGGGCUGGGCGGUCGGUCGGGGUUUCCUGGCUAUUUCGGGUGUUAGGGCCUCUUGGUUUCGCCAGGCCAGCUGCGUGGGGUGAGGGUGUGGGGCCCGUGGGGAGCCCCGGGGGUGCUGGCCUGAGGCUGCUGGGCCCCAACAGCCCAGUGCCAACGGCGACAACUGUCAACCCCAGAGACCCGCAAACGUCCAUUUUCCACCUGACCGUCCCUCCCGGGCCCCCAGGGAGCGAGGUUCCACUGUCACCGGCCCAGCUGCACAGAGGGCACUCUGGCCCCCAGCCCCCAACCCAGAAUCAGGGCUGUCCCGGCCCCUGGCAGCCUCGGGGCUCAGCUGUGGCCCCUGGGGCAGCCUGGCAGGGCGCCCAGCCAUGCCCUGGCUGUUUCUCCAGGGGACCACUUGCUCUCUGCAUGCUGUCCCUUGGCCCCUGUCCCCAGUCGGGAGCCCCCAACAGGGCUGCCUUACCAUCGCCGAGGUCCCUGCAAGCAGUGGGCGCUCAGGAAAUCACUGCUGAGCCGGGGCUUUGCUCUGGGCCCUGGCCCACCCGGGCCUCACCCGCUCACUCUGGUCCACCUGGGCCUCACCCACAUGGGCCCUGGUCUACCUGGGCCUCACCCACUCACCCUGUCCACCUGGGCCUCACCCGCUCACCCUGGUCCACCUGGGCCUCACCCACUCGCCCUGGUCCACCCGGGCCUCACCCACUCGCCCUGGUCUACCUGGGCCUCACCCACUCGCCCUGUCCACCCGGGCCUCACCCGCUCACUCUGGUCCACCUGGGCCUCACCCACAUGGGCCCUGGUCUACCUGGGCCUCACCCACUCGCCCUG